rnacentral:rRNA from 1 species
AACGAACGCUGGCGGCAUGCCUAAUACAUGCAAGUCGAACGAGAUCUUCGGAUCUAGUGGCGCACGGGUGCGUAACGCGUGGGAAUCUGCCCUUGGGUUCGGAAUAACUUCUGGAAACGGAAGCUAAUACCGGAUGAUGACGUAAGUCCAAAGAUUUAUCGCCCAAGGAUGAGCCCGCGUAGGAUUAGGUAGUUGGUGAGGUAAAGGCUCACCACGCCGUCGAUCCUUAGCUGGUCAGAGAGGCUGAUCAGCCACACUGGGACUGAGACACGGCCCAGACUCCUACGGGAGGCAGCAGUAGGGAAUAUUGGACAAUGGGCGGAAGCCUGAUCCAGCAAUGCCGCGUGAGUGAUGAAGGCCUUAGGGUUGUAAAGCUCUUUUACCCGGGAUGAUAAUGACAGUACCGGGAGAAUAAGCGCCGGCUAACUCCGUG